GAGCUCUGGAAAUCCACUUGGGCA
rnacentral:piRNA from 1 species